CACGUGGCCUCAUCAUUUUUAAUGGCGAUUUGACAGAUUUCUUUCUAGUUGACUUUCAACGGCCACAUCACUCAUCUUGCUGUUUGGAGGCCGUCAGAAAGAAGUAGAGACUGGAAGAUAACGUGACUGCUGGGUAGUGACAGGGCCUGUCUCCUGACCGCGGCUCAGCGUACCUUCCACAGGAAAAACCUACACGACCAUGUGCUGCCCAUGCCCAGGUGAACUCUGCCCAGUAGAGGGACCGUCCUUCCUCCAUGUGGUAAAAACUCUAAAUGUUUCCAGUAAGGAUGUAAAUGAGAAAGGACGCUACAUUCUUUUCUGGAUGUUGGAAUAAAUAGUAAAGAAGAAGCCA